UUGGUUUAAAAAAUAGUGCAAAAUUCACACUGAGAGUAACUUCUACUGAAAAAAAUUCGUACUGAUCAUAAAACUUUAUUUAAAAAACAUAAAAUUAUAUGCAUAAUGUAGAGUUUGCAAAGCUAAAUUUGAAACUGAAAUUCGUUUUAAAAUCAGAUUAUGCAUUGCAGAGAUAUCGGGGUUUAAAUAUUGAUUUUUCUGGAAAUUUUGAUUCCUCUUUAUUGGCUUAAAAAUAGUGCAAAAUUCACACUGAAAGUAACUCCUGCUGAAACCAUUUCGUACAGGUCAUAAAACCGAACUCCUUUUUUAUAUAGUUAAUCAGAUUGUUUAUUGAAACGAUUUCGUUAAUUGGGUCGAUAAUUACGUUGUUAGUUUUUAUAAGUCUUAUUAGUUUUAAUCGAAAUAAUUAUCGUACGAUUCACCAUGUUAACUCGUCAUGUUUUGACUGCGAACAACAGCAGGGCUGCGUUCAAGAUCGUAGCGGCUAGGUAGGGCUAUGUAGCGGCUACGUUGUUGAACGGUAUGCUAGCCUAGCCGCUAGGUAGAUAUUUGUAGCCUAAAUAUUUUAUGCUAAGCAUCGAAUUCAAGAUGGCCACCUUAGUUACCACUUUGUAACAAACACGAAAUCUUUUUAUAUAGUGAUAUUUUAUUCAUCCUUUAAGUUAUAAUGAAUCUUAACAUAUAUAUUCCGCUUGAAAUUAACAAAUUAUGUAAAUGUAAUAAGUCUUCAGUUGAAUAUUUCCAACUUCAAAUCUGAGACCUAGCGGCUAACCUAGCGGUCCGUUCAAUAGACCUAGAUAUCUACGACCUAGCGGCUAGGCUAGCAGCUACGAUCUUGAACGCAGCCCUGAUAGCGGUGUGUCAGAAGAAUGGCCUGCAAGACGUCGAUAGUGGAAAUUUCAGCUCAACUAACGUAUGACAGAUUAUAAAGGUAUGUUUCAAUACAGAAUAUGUCGUAUUGACUUUUUCUUUUCAAAGUGUUUGCACUUUUCAAUCUAAUCCGACAUUCCUCUGACUCUAACCUCGGCUUUUGACGUGCGUAACAAUAUAAAAGCGGGCAUUUGAGUCAGAGAAAUCUCGGAAUAUUAUCUGUCCAGUGUUAUUUUCACAUGUAUGUUUUGCACACCACUCUUUUGAAUUUCUAUUUAUUAUUAUGUAUAUGUAUUUCUUAUUUUGUAUUGAACAAUACACCACACACUGUAAACAUUGCAAUUAAAAGGGAUGGGGGUCCUAAGGCACACAAGAGUAGAAUGUUGUAAUUAGAGUGCAUGUUUGCAUGAUGAUAACUUUACCCUAAAUAUUUGAAUAUAGCAGAUCUUUACCAUAUCACCUCCACUUAGUUAAUGAAUUAAAAAACUCAGACAGGCUUGUGCUUAAUUAAAUAAAUAUAUUUGACAUAGUAAAUAUUCAAUCUAAUUAAAAUUUGAACUUUCGUCUGGCUCGCCGUUAUAAAUGAUUAUCGCCUGUGAAAGAGCAUGUAAAACAGAGUGCAAGAUGAAAAGAACUUUAAGUUCAGAUUUUAGGUUAAUGUUCCCUGAUAUCUAUAAAACAUUCUUCUCAAGAUUUGAUUAUUUCACAGAACCAUUGUAAUUUCUUUGAGAUUAGUUUAUCUUUUAUAUAUAUUGAAUUUUAUUGAUUCAUUUUAGGUAAACUUAACAUCCAGAACACAUCUACAUUGUAAACAAUAUUUACGCUAUUGGUGGCCACAUGGUUUUUACCUGUUGAUUCUUUUCAGCUCUUGAGGUUAAACUGUCACCUCUACCCACAUGCAUAUUCCUCAAUGUGUUCUACAGACUAUUUACCAGUAAUUCAAAUUAAAUCAGAUAAUUCAUGAACAGUUACUGUAAUGGAACUUUAAGAAAGCAUCAUGCCUUGUUGUGGUUUGUGUUUGAUAACAGAUUAUAACAAACAAAAUUAAGGCUGUUUAAAGUAAUGUACAAUUGUUAGCUGUGAAAAUUUGUUUUUCAAUAAAAGUAUGCAAUUAUG